rnacentral:rRNA from 1 species
AGAGUUUGAUCCUGGCUCAGAUUGAACGCUGGCGGAAUGCUUUACACAUGCAAGUCGAACGGCAGCACGGGGGCAACCCUGGUGGCGAGUGGCGAACGGGUGAGUAAUACAUCGGAACGUGCCCAGUCGUGGGGGAUAACUACGCGAAAGCGUAGCUAAUACCGCAUACGAUCUAUGGAUGAAAGCGGGGGAUCGCAAGACCUCGCGCGAUUGGAGCGGCCGAUGGCGGAUUAGGUAGUUGGUGGGGUAAAGGCUCACCAAGCCGACGAUCUGUAGCUGGUCUGAGAGGACGACCAGCCACACUGGGACUGAGACACGGCCCAGACUCCUACGGGAGGCAGCAGUGGGGAAUUUUGGACAAUGGGCGCAAGCCUGAUCCAGCCAUUCCGCGUGCAGGAUGAAGGCCCUCGGGUUGUAAACUGCUUUUGUACGGAACGAAACGGCUCGGGUUAAUACCCUGGGCUAAUGACGGUACCGUAAGAAUAAGCACCGGCUAACUACGUGCCAGCAGCCGCGGUAAUACGUAGGGUGCAAGCGUUAAUCGGAAUUACUGGGCGUAAAGCGUGCGCAGGCGGUAAUGUAAGACAGAUGUGAAAUCCCCGGGCUCAACCUGGGAACUGCAUUUGUGACUGCAUUGCUGGAGUGCGGCAGAGGGGGAUGGAAUUCCGCGUAGCAGUGAAAUGCGUAGAUAUGCGGAGGAACACCGAUGGCGAAGGCAAUCCCCUGGGCCUGCACUGACGCUCAUGCACGAAAGCGUGGGGAGCAAACAGGAUUAGAUACCCUAGUAGUCC